rnacentral:tRNA from 1 species
UAGCGAUUGGUGUAAUGGUAGCACAGAGGCCUUUGGAGCCUUUAGUCUAGGUUCGAAUCCUAGAUCGCUAGCCA